UGCAACUUCUUUCACUUCUCUGAACCUAAAUAAAACCCCAGCAAAGCCACAUUUUGUCUCUCCGCAUUACAAUAAUGGCCACUUUCGCCGCCAGGUCCGUCCUCCGCUCAGCCGCCACUUCCGGCCGAGCCGCCGCCGCCGGCCGAGCCGCCGCCGCCAGAAUUUCCACCGGCGCGAAGCCAAAAAGCUCUCCGUUUCGUAUUCCAACUCAAAAACCUCUCAAUUCUCGCAUUUUCAGGUCGCCAGUAGAAAUGAGUUGUGUUAGAGUGGAAUCGAUGUUUCCAUUUCACACUGCAACUGCCUCAGCAUUGCUCACUUCAAUGCUCUCUGCUACUCCUCGGAGCUAUGGUUGGACGCUUGAAGGGCAAGAGAGGACUAGAUGAACAUCAUGAAAUGGAGUUCAGGAUAUACAAAAAUCUUUACUCUGCCAAUUCAAGUAAUUGAUAAAAGCUCUCCUUCUUAGGUCUGAUGGAUGAUUGUUAUGCGGUGCAUGUCCUCAUAGUUCAAUGGAUAUCGAUGGACAAUGUAACAUUAGAACCCCAGACAUCAUCUUCAUUUUUUGAAUUUUGGAGCUAAACUUUUUUGUAUUCUUUGCCAUUAUAGAGUAGGAUUACAUCCUCUUGGAAAUUGGAAUUAGCUUUAUUCGUGCAGAAAUCUGUUUCCGAGCUAUCUGUAGAUGGAAAGUACUAGUUUUCAUAAUUCCUUACAUCUUGAAUGAAAGCAAUCAAGUUUUAGUCAAACAGUCUAAUAAAGCAUUUGAGUUGUGGAAUUACAAAGUAUCCAUUUAU